AGUGAACGCUGGCGGUAGGCCUAACACAUGCAAGUCGAACGGCAGCACAGUAAGAGCUUGCUCUUACGGGUGGCGAGUGGCGGACGGGUGAGGAAUACAUCGGAAUCUACUUUUUCGUGGGGGAUAACGUAGGGAAACUUACGCUAAUACCGCAUACGACCUACGGGUGAAAGCAGGGGAUUUUCGGCCCUUGCGCGAUUGAAUGAGCCGAUGUCGGAUUAGCUAGUUGGCGGGGUAAAGGCCCACCAAGGCGACGAUCCGUAGCUGGUCUGAGAGGAUGAUCAGCCACACUGGAACUGAGACACGGUCCAGACUCCUACGGGAGGCAGCAGUGGGGAAUAUUGGACAAUGGGCGCAAGCCUGAUCCAGCCAUACCGCGUGGGUGAAGAAGGCCUUCGGGUUGUAAAGCCCUUUUGUUGGGAAAGAAAAGCAGCAGGUUAAUACCCCGCUGUUCUGACGGUACCCAAAGAAUAAGCACCGGCUAACUUCGUG
rnacentral:rRNA from 1 species